UACGUAGGUCCCGAGCGUUGUCCGGAUUUAUUGGGCGUAAAGCGAGCGCAGGUGGUUUAAUAAGUCUGGUGUAAAAGGCAGUGGCUCAACCAUUGUAUGCAUUGGAAACUGGUAGACUUGAGUGCAGGAGAGGAGAGUGGAAUUCCAUGUGUAGCGGUGAAAUGCGUAGAUAUAUGGAGGAACACCGGUGGCGAAAGCGGCUCUCUGGCCUGUAACUGACACUGAUGCUCGAAAGCGUGGGGAGCAAACAGG
rnacentral:rRNA from 1 species